AUAUAAAGAAGGUGGUCAGAGGAACUGGGUGCAGGUGUUCUGUAACGGUGGUGUCCCCACAGAGCUGGCCCCUGCUCUAUAUGAUCGAGGUGGGUCCUGGGAGAUGCCGGUGGACUUUGGGAAGCAGUACUGGCCUCCUGGAUGUGCCUGUCUCUGCUGGGGGCCUUGGCCUGCUCUACGGGGGACACCUGGGCAUCAGAGGUGGGGCCCGUCCUCAGCCAGACCAAGCCCAGGCUCAUCACCUCCUGGAGAGAGGUUCCUACAGGUACACAC